rnacentral:rRNA from 1 species
UGGCGGCGUGGAUGGCAUGCAAGUCGAACGAAUCCCAGGGGGCUUGCUCUCUGGGGGAAGUGGCGAAAGGGGCAGUAAGGCGUAGGUAACCUACCUCGGGGAUGGGGAUAGCCUUCCUAACGGAAGGGUAAUACCCGGCGAUCUGGCGGGACGGCAUCGCCCUGUCAGGAAACGAAUUUCGCCUCGAGAGGGGCUUACGUGGUAUUAGCUUGUUGGUGAGGUAACGGCCCACCAAGGCCAAGAUGCCUAGCGGGUGUGAGAGCACGACCCGCGCCACUGGCACUGUGACACUGGCCAGACUCCUACGGGAGGCUGCAGUCGAGGAUCUUCGGCAAUGGGCGCAAGCCUGACCGAGCGACGCCGCGUGUGCGAUGAAGGCCUUCGGGUUGUAAAGCACUGUCGAGGGGGAGAAAACCUUGCAAGGGGCUGAUCUAUCCCUGGAGGAAGCACGGGCUAAGUUCGUGCCAGCAGCCGCGGUAAGACGAACCGUGCGAACGUUGUUCGGAAUCACUGGGCUUAAAGGGCGCGUAGGCGGGCCAUCAAGUCCGUGGGUGAAAUCCCCCGGCCAACCGGGGAAGUGCUGCGGAUACUGGUGGUCUCCAAGGGGUGUAGGGGCAUGUGGAACUUCCGGUGGAAC